AACAACCUGCUCAGUUUUCUUCGGCUUCUUCAACUCUAUUUCAACAAUAAUUGUCCAUUCACAGCUGAUGUGAAACAAUCAGGCUCUUAUAUAUCAUCUUUGCACGGAAUUUCACAUGCCAGAACUUCAAAUAAUUUUGAAAGCUAAAAUACAGAGGAAUUAACGCAUAAGUCACUUACUGUCGGAUCCGAUAUUAAUCGGUAGAACAAGCAGAAAGAAUCUGUCGGGAGGACAUUUGUUGUGUUGGAUGUUCGACACCACUCAUUCCACAGCUUCACAACUCCAACUACUUCCCAACAUACAGAAUC